rnacentral:rRNA from 1 species
UACGUAGGGUGCAAGCGUUAAUCGGAAUUACUGGGCGUAAAGCGUGCGCAGGCGGUUUCGUAAGUCUGUCGUGAAAUCCCCGGGCUUAACCUGGGAAUGGCGAUGGAGACUGCGAGGCUAGAGUUUGGCAGAGGGGGGUAGAAUUCCACGUGUAGCAGUGAAAUGCGUAGAGAUGUGGAGGAACACCGAUGGCGAAGGCAGCCCCCUGGGUCAAAACCGACGCUCAUGCACGAAAGCGUGGGGAGCAAACAGG